AGCACAUCACUGAAAGUGACCUAAUGCACAAUGUCAAACAACUGUGCUGUUGCCACUUGCUGCAACACCUUUAACAAGCAACUUGGGAUUUCAUUUUUCCGGUUCCCUAAAGAUUCUGCUGUUCAAGCAACAUGGAUACACAGAUGUGCAAGACAAGAUCAGUUCAAUGUGGCCACAUCAAGGAUUUGUUCUGAACAUUUUCUUGACUCAGACUAUGACCCUUCCUAUGUUGUCAAAGCUUCUCUGAUGCCAGAUGUGAAGCCAUGGCUGAAAGUGGAUGCAGUGCCAACACAGAAAAUUCCUAUCUCCAGAUCGACAGUGGUGCAGGGAGAGAGUUCCAGAAAGACACGUCAGGAUCGCCGGGACAUGAAGAUGCUGGCACAGGACACCAUUCUCUCUGGCGAUCUCGGAGAGCCAUCAAGCGGGCCGGUGUCACCGCAGCUGCUGCUGAGUGAGGGCUGCGCUGCCACCAGAGGCACACCUGGUGGCUCACGACCUGCAACUCUUCGAGAGGAGGUGAGGAGGCUCACCCUGCUGAAUAAGCGCCUCAAGCUCCAGCAUGAGAGACACCGUCGGCUGUGGCGGCGUGAACGCCAGCUGCUGCUGCGGAGGCUCCGAGCGGCUGAAGUAAAGGCAGCGAAGCUGGAUAAGCUGCUGCAUCGCGGUGUCCUCACCACGAAGCAAGUAUCCGCUGCAGAGUCGGGACAUCGCGUACGCUGGACUCCCGAAGAUGUAUCCCGGGCGCGAGUUUCCUAAGUGUGGAACUAUUCAUACCGUCGCCCGUUCGAGUGACGUCAUCACUCGGCGCUGGCGGCUAGGUGCAUGGAUUGGCGGGUCCUUAAGUUGGCGAAGAGGCGGAGCCAGUUAUCCUGCGUAAGUAUUUAGUCAGUCUUAAUUUAACGAGUUCCCUAGCUAGAGAAAAAGUAACUUGUUCUACGUGAAUAUAUAACCGGUGUUAUUUCAGUUAUCGUUUGUGCAUUCGCCCACCUUGGAAGCAUAUCUCCUACGAGGUGCUUGAGUUUUGACGGUGUGGUUUGUGCACUGCGUUUCGCUUCAGCAUUGAGCAAAUGUCUUCAGCAUUACGGCUGGUGAUACUGCCUAUCGGCAUUGAAUGAUGUUUGACACCAAUAGGACAUAAAUUAGCAGGUAGUGCGAAUUUAUUAUUAGCAGAUCAUUUAUUAGCGAGACUAUUAGCAGAUUUAUUAGCGGAUUUAUUUAUUUUAUUAACAGGUAGUGCGGAACUAUAGUGCGGAUAGUGAGUGACGCCAUCUGGACCGAUGCUGGAGAUGGUAGCGCCACCUGCCGCCACUUAACUGCUCGCUACUUGUAACAGUGCCUGGCUGGUGUUUUGUGUUGAUUGUUUGAAGCGUAGUGUAGUACCUUAUGACGCAUAAUAUAAGGUCACUUUGCAAAAUGUGAGGAGCAUGGACGAAUUAAUUUGUGAGACAUUGACGCCUUAGUAAUACAUAAUUGUUCCCAACACAAGCUAUGCAUUAGCUUUUAAUGUAAUUGCUCAACUUCCCAUAUAACACCAGGGGCGCUAGUGCCGCGCGCCGCUAGCCUAUAAUCGUGCAGCGAUUGGUCAGCCGACUGUGAGCUAUGACGUCACAGCCUGUAACGUCAUCUCGGCGAAGCUUGCGCCAAUCAUAGACCUUAGGUAUGGGCAGUUCCACACUUAGGAAAC
rnacentral:lncRNA from 1 species